CUUGGAAAUCUGAACAAAAUGAGUGAGAACUCACUACCGUCUCCUCAUCGAAACUGAGGAGAGCAGCAUGGCGGACCCCUGAUCUUGUGGCGUGCCACCGCGCGAGGCCGAGGAGCUCCCGCAGCCCAGUGGGCGUGGCGUCCUUGUCGC
rnacentral:lncRNA from 1 species